rnacentral:rRNA from 1 species
AUUGAACGCUGUCGGCAGGCCUAACACAUGAAAGUCGAGCGGAGCGGCGGACGGGUGAGUAAUGCCUAGGAAUCUGCCUGGUAGUGGGGGAUAAAGACCGGAAACGGGCGCUAAUACCGCAUUCCAUACGAUAUGCCUAGGCCGGAUGAGCUCGUUGGUGGGGUAAAGGCCUAACAAGGCUACGAACCGUAACUGGUCUGAGAGGAUGAUCAGUCACACUGGAACUGAGACACGGUCCAGACUCCGACGGCAGGAAGCAGUGGGGAAUAUUUGAGAAUGGGCGAAAGCCUGAUCCAGCCAUGCCGCGGGUGAGAAGAAGGUCUUCGGAUUGUAAAGCACUUUAAGUUGAGAGGCGUUACCAACAGAAUAAGCACCGGCUAACUUCGUGCCAGCAGCCGCGGUAAUUC